AAUCAGUAUUUCUGAAUGUGAAAUGGUUCCCUCAGGUAAUGAUACAAAUGAAGAUACAGAAGAUGAAAAUUUGUUGAAGCGAAAUAACCGCUUUACAUUACCAUAUUUCAUGAGCGAUGAUGAUUUUGAUAACGAGGUUGCUCCUAAUCAAUCCAAAAAAAAAAAUUGGCUUGCAGCAGUGAUGAGGAGGCAGAGACCACAAUAGACAAUUUCCCAUUACUUCCGUCGCCACUAAAAAAAUUGCCUUCUAAUCGGACUUUGAUGACAGCGAAAAAGCAUAAAGUUGAUUUGGAGAUUGAACCAGAAUGUCAGCCUCAAGUAUUGUCAUUUAAAUCCAGUUCCCAGCAGCAUUUCACAAGCUAUGAUUGCAGUAGUAAACCUGUGAUUAGUUAUGACGCUGAUAAUACAUCUGCUUCAUCACAAAAAGUUUUCCAGAAAAAUGUCAUGAAAAUUCUAAAAAAUAUAACAAAAGAACUAAUGGAGAUGAAGUAAAAUCA